rnacentral:rRNA from 1 species
AUCCUGGCUCAGGACGAACGCUGGCGGCGUGCUUAACACAUGCAAGUCGAGCGGUAAGGCCCUUCGGGGUACACGAGCGGCGAACGGGUGAGUAACACGUGAGCAACCUGCCCCUGACUCCGGGAUAAGCGGUGGAAACGCCGUCUAAUACCGGAUACGACCCGCCACCUCAUGGUGGAGGGUGGAAAGUUUUAUCGGUCAGGGAUGGGCUCGCGGCCUAUCAGCUUGUUGGUGGGGUAAAGGCCUACCAAGGCGAUUACGGGUAGCCGGCCUGAGAGGGCGACCGGCCACACUGGGACUGAGACACGGCCCAGACUCCUGCGGGAGGCAGCAGUGGGGAAUAUUGCACAAUGGGCGAAAGCCUGAUGCAGCGACGCCGCGUGGGGGAUGAAGGCCUUCGGGUUGUAAACCUUCUUUUACCACCAACGCAGGCUCCACGUUCUCGUGGGGUUGACGGUAGGUGGGGAAUAAGGACCGGCUAACUACGUGCCAGCAGCCGCGGUAAUACGUAGGGUCCGAGCGUUGUCCGGAAUUAUUGGGCGUAAAGAGCUCGUAGGCGGCAUGUCGCGUCUGCUGUGAAAGACCGGGGCUUAACUCCGGUUCUGCAGUGGAUACGGGCAUGCUAGAGGUAGGUAGGGGAAACUGGAAUUCCUGGUGUAGCGGUGAAAUGCGCAGAUAUCAGGAGGAACACCGGUGGCGAAGGCGGGUUUCUGGGCCUUACCUGACGCUGAGGAGCGAAAGCAUGGGGAGCGAACAGGAUUAGAUACCCUGGUAGUCCAUGCCGUAAACGUUGGGCGCUAGGUGUGGGGACUUUCCACGGUUUCCGCGCCGUAGCUAACGCAUUAAGCGCCCCGCCUGGGGAGUACGGCCGCAAGGCUAAAACUCAAAGGAAUUGACGGGGGCCCGCACAAGCGGCGGAGCAUGUUGCUUAAUUCGACGCAACGCGAAGAACCUUACCAAGGUUUGACAUCACCCGUGGACCUGUAGAGAUACAGGGUCAUUUAGUUGGUGGGUGACAGGUGGUGCAUGGCUGUCGUCAGCUCGUGUCGUGAGAUGUUGGGUUAAGUCCCGCAACGAGCGCAACCCUUGUUCCAUGUUGCCAGCACGUAAUGGUGGGGACUCAUGGGAGACUGCCGGGGUCAACUCGGAGGAAGGUGGGGACGACGUCAAGUCAUCAUGCCCCUUAUGUCUUGGGCUGCAAACAUGCUACAAUGGCCGGUACAAUGGGCGUGCGAUACCGUAAGGUGGAGCGAAUCCCUUAAAGCCGGUCUCAGUUCGGAUUGGGGUCUGCAACUCGACCCCAUGAAGGUGGAGUCGCUAGUAAUCGCGGAUCAGCAACGCCGCGGUGAAUACGUUCCCGGGCCUUGUACACACCGCCCGUCACGUCAUGAAAGUCGGCAACACCCGAAACUUGUGGCCUAACCCUUCGGGGAGGGAAUGAGUGAAGGUGGGGCUGGCGAUUGGGACGAAGUCGUA